GCAAGUCGAGCGCCCCUUCGGGGGAGCGGCGGACGGGUGAGUAACGCGUAGGAAUCUACCUGGUAGUGGGGGACAACAUGGUGAAAACCAUGCUAAUACCGCAUACGCCCCAAGGGGGAAAGCGGGGGAUCUUCGGACCUCGCGCUAUCGGAUGAGCCUGCGUAGGAUUAGCUAGUUGGUGGGGUAAAGGCUCACCAAGGCGACGAUCCUUAGCUGGUCUGAGAGGAUGAUC
rnacentral:rRNA from 1 species